rnacentral:rRNA from 1 species
GACGAACGCUGGCGGCGUGCUUAACACAUGCAAGUCGAACGAAGUUGCGAACGGGUGAGUAACGCGUAAUCAACCUGCCCUUCAGAGGGGGACAACAGUUGGAAACGACUGCUAAUACCGCAUACUGAAGGACGGGAUUGCGUCUGAUUAGCUAGUUGGAGGGGUAACGGCCCACCAAGGCGAUGAUCAGUAGCCGGGCUGGGAGGAUGAACGGCCACAGUGGGACUGGGACACGGGCCAGACUCCUACGGGAGGCAGCAGGUGGGGAUCUUCCGCAAUGGACGAAAGGCUGACGGAGCAACGCCGCGUGAGUGAUGACGGCCUUCGGGUUGGAAAGCUCUGUUAAGCGGGACGCGGUACCGGAAUAGAAAGCCACGGCUAACUACGUGCCAGCAGCCGCGGUAAUUC